rnacentral:rRNA from 1 species
AUUGAACGCUGGCGGCAUGCCUUACACAUGCAAGUCGAACGGUAGAGGGGCAACCCUUGAGAGUGGCGAACGGGUGAGUAAUACAUCGGAACGUACCUGGUAGUGGGGGAUAGCCCGGCGAAAGCCGGAUUAAUACCGCAUAAGACCUGAGGGUGAAAGCGGGGGACUCGCAAGAGCCUCGCGCUAUCAGAGCGGCCGAUGUCAGAUUAGCUAGUUGGUGGGGUAAAAGCCUACCAAGGCGACGAUCUGUAGCUGGUCUGAGAGGACGACCAGCCACACUGGUACUGAGGCACGGCCCAGACUCCUACGGGAGGCAGCAGUGGGGAAUUUUGGACAAUGGGCGCAAGCCUGAUCCAGCCAUGCCGCGUGCGGGAAGAAGGCCUGCGGGUUGUAAACCGCUUUUGUCGGGGAAGAAAUACUCUGGACUAAUACUCUGGGGUGAUGACGGUACCUGAAGAAUAAGCACCGGCUAACUACGUGCCAGCCGCCGCCGUAAUAC